UACGUAGGGGGCAAGCGUUGUCCGGAUUUAUUGGGCGUAAAGAGCGUGUAGGCGGCUUUACAGGUCCGUUGUGAAAACUCGAGGCUCAACCUCGAGACGCCGGUGGAAACCGUAAAGCUAGAGUCCGGAAGAGGAGAGUGGAAUUCCUGGUGUAGCGGUGAAAUGCGCAGAUAUCAGGAAGAACACCGGUGGUGUAGACGGCUCACUGGACCGUAACUGACGCUGAGACACGAAAGCGUGGGUAGCAAACAGG
rnacentral:rRNA from 1 species